UGACAAUUGUCAUUGAGGAUUGGCC
rnacentral:piRNA from 1 species